CAUAUGUAUGUACACAUGUAUGUGUGUGUGUAUGUUUGUAUUUCUUUGUCUUCACAUGCCGUAAUAGCUGUAAAUGAGUUUCACUUUCAUAUAAGCAGUGUCAUUCAUUUCCAAUAUUUUGUGAGAACGUCUGGCCAUGGGGAAAUAUUACCUGACUUGGGAACAGCUGCAGGUGGCAUCAGGAAGGCAUUCAGCCAUGUAAAAUCUACCUCAAUAAGCUUUGUUCCAUGCAAGCAUAGCAAAGUAGAUGUUAAAAAAACGAAAAUGGUGAAAUUGACCACCAGUAUGGCUUAUGCAGAGCUAGAUCUACUACAGACCUACUUACUUGACCUACUUGACCACUAGAGACUUACUACAUCACUUGCCAGUUGGUUUUCACUUUAGAGAAGUUUCAUUUGAUGAAAAAAAGGCAAAAACAAAUGGAAAUUCAUCACCAAUUUCAACGAAUACUCUAGUUGUUUGAUCAACAGAGUUACCUAUUUCUUGAAUUGUAAUAUGAGGAACCAAAUAUUCCACAGACAUGAGUACCUUUACUAGUAUUGUCAAACAGAUUUGACAUGAAAUUGUGUGACAAGGCAAGUCACUCUAAUUACAGGUGUACAUCAUCCAACAGGCACAGUUUCCAUCAACCAAAUAUCACUAUGAUGACCUGAGAUGAUGGUAGAAAACACUUGCUCAAGGUCCAAGAAGCUGCUUGUCCAAGUGGAGUCAAAUCCAAGACUUUCUGAUUCAGAGGUUUGCUUUCACUAAAUGAA